GUCUACGGCCACACCACCCUGAACGCGCCUGAUCUCCUCUGAUCUCAGAAGCUGAGCAGGCUCGGGCCUGGUUAGGACUUGGAUGGG
rnacentral:miRNA from 1 species